rnacentral:miRNA from 1 species
UGUGUGUUAUAUGUGUGUGUGCAUGUGCAUGUGUGUGUACACAUAUGAAUAAGUGAAAAGAUCCUAUGAGACAGAUUGGCAAAAACACACAAAAUAUUAA